rnacentral:rRNA from 1 species
UACGGAGGGUGCGAGCGUUGUCCGGAAUCACUGGGCGUAAAGGGCGCGUAGGCGGCAAUUCAAGUCAUCUGUGAAAUCUCCGGGCUUAACCCGGAACGGUCAGGUGAUACUGUUUUGCUAGAGUUCGGAAGAGGUGAGUGGAACUGCGAGUGUAGAGGUGAAAUUCGUAGAUAUUCGCAAGAACACCAGUGGCGAAGGCGGACUCACUGGUCCGAUACUGACGCUGAGGCACGAAAGCUAGGGGAGCAAACAGG